GCAAGAAUCGAUGUGGACAAAAGCUAAACAAGUCUUACAGCUGUCAGUGCAACAGUCACUGUGAAAGAUUUGGGGACUGCUGCAAGGAUUACUCCAUUUGCAACUAUAUUGAUCGUGAAUUAAAUAAGGUGACUGAACAUGACAAACCAGAUAUUGAUCGUGAAUUAAAUAAGGUGACUGAACAUGACAAAC